rnacentral:rRNA from 1 species
UAGGGAAUAUUGGACAAUGGGAGCAACCCUGAUCCAGCCAUGCCGCGUGAGUGAAGAAGGCCCUCGGGUUGUAAAGCUCUUUUGUCCGGAAAGAAAAGCAUUCGGUGAAUACCCGGAUGUUCUGACGGUACCGGAAGAAUAAGCACCGGCUAACUUCGUGCCAGCAGCCGCGGUAAUACGAAGGGUGCAAGCGUUACUCGGAAUUACUGGGCGUAAAGCGUGCGUAGGUGGUUGUUUAAGUCUGAUGUGAAAGCCCUGGGCUCAACCGGGGGAUGGCAUUGGAAACUGGGCAGCGAGAGUGCGGUAGAGGGUAGUGGAAUUCCCGGUGUAGCAGUGAAAUGCGUAGAUAUCAGGAGGAACACCAGCGGUGUAGACAGCUGUCUGGACCAAAACUGACGCUGAGGCACGAAAGCGUGGGUAGCAAACA